UUGAUCAGUCCAGUUAUUCUUAUAUACAGUCUAUGGUUCCAUCCGUGGAUCCGCGUCUUCAAACCGGAACACUGUUUGACAGCAUAGACUGUAUAUAAAAUAUAAAACUGUUUUUACAGUCUAUGUUUGACAGCAGCGGUUAAAAACUAUGUUGUUUUGAGGAAUCCGUGAAGGUGAAACCCAGACACCGUCCUUUUAGUUUAAACUUUAGCUUAGUGGGUUUCGAACGUGACUCCUCCGUCAGUUGGGCGGGAAGCGCGCGCCGAACCGUCACUCUGACCGUUAGAGCGCCGUCCGCAGGACGAAGGCGGACAGGUGAACCCGAAUGUGAUGACGUCAGGACUCGGCAGCGAAGACAAACAAACAGGUGGGAGUGAGUGAAAAGGCUCUCGAAGGCGGGAAGACUGAGGCGCGCGCGCCGGCAGGCACAGUUUACCUCCUGCCUCUAACCCUGAAGGAGGAAGAGGAGGAGGAGGAGGAGGAGGAAGAAGGCUCUGAGGUUUCCUUUUGGACCAGGUUCUAUAGCAGGAACCCAACGCCAGGAUUCUGGAGCAGAACAAAUGCCAGGAUUCUCCGGGUCCUGUGGACUGGACUUAAUC